UACGGGGGGGGCAAGCGUUGUUCGGAAUUACUGGGCGUAAAGGGCUCGUAGGCGGCUAACUAAGUCAGACGUGAAAUCCCCAGGCUCAACCUGGGAACUGCGUCUGAUACUGGAUGGCUUGAAUUCGGGAGAGGGAUGCAGAAUUCCAGGUGUAGCGGUGAAAUGCGUAGAUAUCUGGAGGAAUACCGGUGGCGAAGGCGGCAUCCUGGACCGACAUUGACGCUGAGGAGCGAAAGCUAGGGGAGCAAACGGG
rnacentral:rRNA from 1 species